rnacentral:rRNA from 1 species
GGGGGGGCAAGCGUUGUUCGGAAUUACUGGGCGUAAAGGGCGCGCAGGCGGCCUGACAAGUCCCUCGUGAAAUCCCACAGCUCAACUGUGGAACUGCGGGGGAUACUGCCGGGCUUGAGUCCGGGAGAGGAGAGUGGAAUUCCCAGUGUAGCGGUGAAAUGCGUAGAUAUUGGGAGGAACACCGGUGGCGAAGGCGGCUCUCUGGACCGGUACUGACGCUGAGGCGCGAAAGCUAGGGGAGCAAACGGGGAUUAGAUACCCCGGUAGUCCUAGCUGUAAACGUUGAGCACUUGGUGUGGCGGGUAUCGACCCCCUGCCGUGCCCGAAGCUAACGCAUUAAGUGCUCCGCCUGGGGAGUACGGUCGCAAGGCUG